CCUGGCGGCCAUAGCGCGGUGGUCCCACCUGAUCCCAUGCCGAACUCAGAAGUGAAACGCCGUAGCGCCGAUGGUAGUGUGGGG
rnacentral:rRNA from 1 species